rnacentral:rRNA from 1 species
UACAGAGGGUGCAAGCGUUAAUCGGAGUUACUGGGCGUAAAGGGCGCGUAGGCGGAUUUGUAAGUGAGAUGUGAAAUCCCUGGGCUUAACCUAGGAAUUGCAUUUUAGACUAUAAGUCUGGAGUACAGUAGAGGGUGGUGGAAUUUCCGGUGUAGCGGUGAAAUGCGUAGAGAUCGGAAGGAACAUCAGUGGCGAAGGCGGCAUCCUGGACCAAUACUGACGCUGAGGAGCGAAAGCCAGGGGAGCAAACGGG